AACGCGAAGAACCUUACCUGGGCUUGAACUACUCGUGGUAGUUCGCUGGAAACAGUGGACGACCCGCAAGGGAGCGAGCAGAGGUGCUGCAUGGUUGUCGUCAGCUCGUGUCGUGAGAUGUUGGGUUAAGUCCCGCAACGAGCGCAACCCUUAUCUUCAGUUGCUACCAUUUAGUUGAGCACUCUGACGAAACCGCCUCGGAUAACGGGGAGGAAGGUGGGGAUGACGUCAAGUCCUCAUGGCCUUUAUGUCCAGGGCUACACACGUGCUACAAUGGCCGGUACAAACCGUCGCAAACCCGUGAGGGGGAGCUAAUCGGAAAAAGCCGGCCUCAGUUCGGAUUAGAGUCUGCAACUCGACUCUAUGAAGCUGGAAUCGCUAGUAAUCGCGGAUCAGAACGCCGCGGUGAAUACGUUCCCGGGCCUUGUACACACCGCGCAUA
rnacentral:rRNA from 1 species